UCGUGCUAGACGGGGAGGUAGCGGUGCCCUGUACCCGCAAUCCGCUAUAGCGGGGUCGAACUCCUGCCUUCGGGUUUAUGCUUGUGAGGUCUGGCUUGCGUAAGUGAUGUUGACGACCGGGUCCUACGCAACGUAAGCUCCUGAACCGUGUCAGGUCCUGACGGAAGCAGCACUAAGGGAUGUCCGGCGUGUGCCGUGGGGGCGCCUGGUUCGAGUUAACUGCGCAGGUAACGCUUGGAAGGUAAAUUCAACGGCAGGUGCACGG
rnacentral:SRP_RNA from 1 species